rnacentral:miRNA from 1 species
GCUGAUCAGUAGUGGGAUCACACCUGUGAAUAGCCACUGCACUCCAGCCUGGGCAACAUAGUGAGACCCUGUCUCU